rnacentral:lncRNA from 1 species
GGAUUAAGUCGGGCUAUAUACAUUGGGUUACAUUAAGUUAAUAAUAAAUUUAAACUAAGGAAAAGGUUUGAGAUUUUUGUUUGUUGGUUAGUUUGAUAGCUCAGUUAUAUAAACAAAAUAAAUAAUCUAUAUAAAAUAUAAAUAUAGAUCAGUAAUAUAUAUGUGUUGGCGCCAAUCGCCUCGUCGUCUGAUCGCCGGGGAACGAGCGCCUGCAAAA